GUCGGACUACAUAUCCCAGGAUACAACACAGUCACACAAUUCGAAAGUAACGUUAAUCACCUUUGAGCACAGAGGACCAGGUCUGCCAUGAAAGAUCACGUAUUGUCCUACUUCUGAACUCCAGUCUUUGCCUUCUACUGACCUGAGUUGCUCUACAGACAACACUUUUGCUUGCUCUGAAACUCAGAUGCAAACCAUGAGAAGCAAGGAUGUGCCAACCACAACUGAAGCAAAAGAACUGUCAGUUCUUGUAAAGGGUCUGGUGUCCGUUGUGAAGAUGACAUCCUGUUUCAACGGCGACUAAAAAGGAAAAUGGACCAGGCCAGACAAUGGAGUCAGGAGGCCCCUUCCCACAAUUCUGUUCUCUAUAUACCUCUAUCACACAGUUUCAGGCCAAACCAGGUGAACCAACACCACAAUGCAUAUCAGGAUUAUUCCUUUCUGAAUAAUAUGUGCUCAAAUGUUAAAUGAUGCAGAAUGUAUAUUAUAUUAUAUUAUAUUAUAUUAUAUUAUAUUAUAUUACAUCCUAUAAUAUACAGUUUGUUGUUGUUGUUUCUUUCUUUUCAGUUAUUUUGUCUUCUGUUUUCAUUAACUACCGUGUUUUUAUUAGUUCCUAUUGUCCUUUGUAUUAGUUGUCAUGGAUAUUCAUUUAAAUAUCACAGGUGUUUGUCAGUAGUUCCUUCAUUUGCUCUGUAUUUAAGUUGCUCUAUUUCAUCUUUCAGAUGUCGGUGGUUGUUUGUGCCUGGUUCACACUAUAAAGGCCCAUUCACACCAAGCACGAUAACUAUAAAGAUAACGAUAAAGAUAUAGUUCUAAAAAUCGUUCUCAAUAUUAAAGAAUAGCAGAGUCCACACUACAUAGAAGGCAUAGAGAAACGGUAUCGUUGGAAUCAAUUUCAGAACGAUUUUUUUUUUUCCAGCUGAUGAACGAUACAACCAUUGACAGCCAAUCAGAAUGCAUCGUGCUAAAACGAGCUCGAGUAUUUAAAGUGGCAGACGCACGUGCGCUUAGAAUAAACAGACAUCGUUCGCUGGUGUGGACGCUAAUAUCGUUAUCUUUAUAGUUAUCCUUUUUUUUUUUUUUAAACCAUAGCUCCAUUUAGUGGUAGUUUGUAGUGUGGUUGCAUGAAAAGAAUGACACAAACCCAUCAGCUUCAAGAAUGGUCAUGGUCAGUCUUGCUUACUUGAGCAGCUGCCUGAAUCCUUUCUUGUAUAUAUUCAUGUGUGAAGAUUUUCAGAAAAAGCUCAAGCGAUCUUUGGUGAUGGUGUUCGAGAGCGCCUUCACAGAGGAACAACUGGGUCUCCUCUCGCAACAUUCC